UCUAAUUCAUCAGAUAUUAUUUAUUCUAGUAUCUGGAACACGAAAUAGAUAGAGUGGAUCAAAAAAAAUGGAACUAUGAUUCAUACUCACUAUUAAGACCUCGCAACCAGACUGAAAAAUUCAAGUAGUUCUUAAAUAAAAAUAAAAAAGAAAUUUUCUUCCUUCCAAUUUUGUUUGCCCAAAAGACAACUUUUUUUCUCU
rnacentral:rRNA from 1 species